UACGUAGGGCGCAAGCGUUAUCCGGAAUUAUUGGGCGUAAAGAGCUCGUAGGCGGUUUGUCGCGUCUGCCGUGAAAGUCCGGGGCUCAACCCCGGAUCUGCGGUGGGUACGGGCAGACUAGAGUGAUGUAGGGGAGACUGGAAUUCCUGGUGUAGCGGUGAAAUGCGCAGAUAUCAGGAGGAACACCGAUGGCGAAGGCAGGUCUCUGGGCCACUACUGACGCUGAGAAGCGAAAGCAUGGGGAGCGAACAGG
rnacentral:rRNA from 1 species